UACGGCCGCAUCACGUUGAAACACCGGUUCCCGUACGAUCGCCGAAGUUAAGCAACGUUGAGCAUAGUCAGUACCUAGAUGGGUGACCGCUUGAGAAUACCAGCUGCUGUAAG